AAGGGUUGGCUCGUCAGAGAGUUCGUAGGCGUGUCGUGUUGGCUUCGCGGUCCCGCCGCCGCCGCCGGCCGCCGCGACACAAUCCUCGACUCUGCAUCCUCGCGACGUGCGGCGCUGAGGCUCUCUCAGGUACCCCCAGCCUCGCGACGAGAGGGCCGAACCAGCGCGUGGCCAUGGCCACCAAGCUGCUGGCUCAGCUCUGCACUGUCGCCCUGUCGCCCCUCAGGACAUCAUGAUUUCAUGGCUUUAGCUAGUGAACACCAAGACAAGUCAUUUUUACUGCUGGACAUGGAUAAGAGCUGGUUGUUUGUUGGUGGACACCGCACCUAUAUAUAUCAUUUUUUGGCCGCUUAGGAAGGAGAAAUAACUCAAAAUGUUCUCUUAUUUGUCCUAGUCAAGAAAAAAAGGACAGUAAUAUGGCAAAAUCCUCUCAAUAUUUGUUUUACUUUUAGAAAGAAGUAAACAAGCUAUCUGAUUUAGGUCCGGUUAAUACACUACUGUAGAAACUACUUGUACCACUUGAGUGUAACCUUGCGUCUGUGAAAAUCAGCAUUACUGCAGCUGGUUUGAGAGCUUACUUAAAAAUUAAUUCUCACAGUCAGUUCUAGUCAUGAAGCAUCUGUACAAAAUGUUUUUCUUUCAGCACAAGAUUGAAAUAUACACAAGUGCUACAAGGGGUACUCGGACCUGCAAUCA